rnacentral:rRNA from 1 species
CCUACGGGAGGCAGCAGUGAGGAAUCUUGGUCAAUGGGCGCGAGCCUGAACCAGCCAAGUAGCGUGAAGGAUGACUGCCCUACGGGUUGUAAACUUCUUUUAUAAAGGAAUAAAGUGAGGCACGUGUGCCUUUUUGUAGGUACUUUAUGAAUAAGGAUCGGCGAACUCCGUGCGAGCAGCCGCGGUAAUACGGAGGAUCCGAGCGUAUGCCGGAUUUAUUGGGGUAAAAGGGUGCGAAGGCGGAAUAUCAAGUCAGCGGGAAAAAUUCGGGGCUAAACCCCGUCGUGCCGUUGAAACGUAUGUUCUUGAGUGGGCGAGAAGUAUGCGGAAUGCGUGGUGUAGCGGUGAAAUGCAUAGAUAUCACGCAGAACUCCGAUUGCGAAGGCAGCAUACCGGCGCCCAACUGACGCUGAAGCACGAAAGCGUGGGUAUCGAACAGGAUUAGAUACCCGGGUAGUC